GACGAACGCUGGCGGCGUGCUUAACACAUGCAAGUCGAACGGAAAGGCCCUGCUCUUGCGGGGUGCUCGAGUGGCGAACGGGUGAGUAAAACGUGAGUAACCUGCCCUUGACUUUGGGAUAACAUCAGGAAACAGGGGCUAAUACCGGAUAGGAGCUCCUGCAGCAUGGGGGGGGAUGGUAAGUUUCGGCGGUUGGGGAUGGACUAGCGGCUUAUCAGCUUGUUGGUGGGGUAGUGGCUUACCAAGGCUUUGACGGGUAGCCGGCCUGGGAGGGUGACCGGCCACAUUGGGACUGCGAUACGGCCCAGACUCCUACGGGAGGCAGCAGUGGGGAAUAUUGCACAAUGGGCGGAAGCCUGAUGCAGCAACGCCGCGUGCGGGAUGCCGGCCUUCGGGUUGUAAACCGCUUUCGCCUGUGACGAAGCGUGAGUGACGGUAAUGGGUAAAGAAGCACCGGCUAACUACGUG
rnacentral:rRNA from 1 species